GUUGAGAAAAAGGAGUUUUCACUCAGUCCUUCUCUCUCUCUCCUAUUUAGUCUGUAGUCACAAUGAAAAUAACAAAAUCUCUCUCUCUCAGGAGCUCUUCUUCCCCUCCUGAGCCUGCCUCAGAAAGAACUCAAAGCAACAGAAAGCGUUGAACAAAAAAGUAACCUUCGGGGGCAUGAGAUGUGCUCCAACAUGUGCUGACGGGAACAGUCCGAGAAGACUGGCUACACAAGCUCUCCGAGGAAUAUAAAAGGUGGUUGCAGAGUUUUAUAGAGAAGAUAAGCCAAUGGCUUGCAGCUCUGAAUGGCUUGCAGUCUCAUUCAAUCAGCAGUUCAGACGGAAGCAGAGUUCAAGAGAGGAGACAUGCCGAUGGGAAAGAGAAGAUAAAUCACGCUGAGUAAAUCUGGAUUUUAAACUGCCUCUAAUGAUCAACAGCAAUCAUACAAAUAUUUUCUUCUGUUUUUAUAGUAUUUGUGUUUAAGCUGACGGUGGAUCUUUAAUUCGCUCUUCAGUCCUUCCUUACAAUCUCAUAAAAAUAUAUAUAAUUUA